UACGUAGGGUGCAAGCGUUAAUCGGAAUUACUGGGCGUAAAGCGUGCGCAGGCGGUUAUGUAAGACAGAUGCGAAAUGCCCGGGCUUAACCUGGGAACUGCAUUUGUGACUGCAUGGCUAGAGUUUGGCAGAGGGGGGUAGAAUUCCACGUGUAGCAGUGAAAUGCGUAGAUAUGCGGAGGAACACCGAUGGCGAAGGCAGCCCCCUGGGUAAGCACUGACGCUCAGGCACGAAAGCGUGGGGAGCAAACAGGAUUAGAACGUCCGUGAUCA
rnacentral:rRNA from 1 species